rnacentral:tRNA from 1 species
UAGCUCAGUGGUAGAGCGCUUGCCUAGCAAGCGAAAGGCCCUGGGUUCAAUCCCCAG